GGCACUAGGAGCCGAUGAAGGACGGGACUAACACCGAUAUGCUUCGGGGAGCUGUAAGUAAGCUUUGAUCCGGAGAUUUCCGAAUGGGGAAACCCCCUAUCCGUAAUGGGAUAGGAUCUUUACCUGAAUACAUAGGGUAUUGAAGGCAGACCCGGGGAACUGAAACAUCUAAGUACCCGGAGGAAGAGAAAGCAAACGCGAUUCCCUGAGUAGCGGCGAGCGAAACGGGAUUAGCCCAAACCAAGAGGCUUGCCUCUUGGGGUUGUAGGACACUCUAUACGGAGUUACAAAGGAACGAGGUAAAUGAACAGGUCUGGAAAGGCCGGCCAUAGAAGGUAAAAGCCCUGUAGUUGAAACUUCGUUCCCUCCAGAGUGGAUCCUGAGUACGGCGGGACACGUGAAAUCCCGUCGGAAGCAGGGAGGACCAUCUCCCAAGGCUAAAUACUCCCUAGUGACCGAUAGUGAACCAGUACCGUGAGGGAAAGGUGAAAAGCACCCCGGAAGGGGAGUGAAAGAGAUCCUGAAACCGUGUGCCUACAAGUAGUCAGAGCCCAUUAACGGGUGAUGGCGUGCCUUUUGUAGAAUGAACCGGCGAGUUACGAUUACAUGCGAGGUUAAGUUGAAGAGACGGAGCCGCAGCGAAAGCGAGUCUGAAUAGGGCGAAUAAGUAUGUGGUCGUAGACCCGAAACCAGGUGACCUACCCAUGUCCAGGUUGAAGUCCAGGUAACACUGGAUGGAGGACCGAACCCACGCACGUUGAAAAGUGCGGGGAUGAGGUGUGGGUAGCGGAGAAAUUCCAAUCGAACUUGGAGAUAGCUGGUUCUCUCCGAAAUAGCUUUAGGGCUAGCCUCAUGUAGUAAGAGUCUUGGAGGUAGAGCACUGUUUGGACUAGGGGCCCUCAUCGGGUUACCGAAUUCAGACAAACUCCGAAUGCCAAAGACUUAUCCAUGGGAGUCAGACUGCGAGUGAUAAGAUCCGUAGUCAAGAGGGAAACAGCCCAGACCACCAGCUAAGGUCCCAAAGUAUACGUUAAGUGGAAAAGGAUGUGGAGUUGCUUAGACAACCAGGAUGUUGGCUUAGAAGCAGCCACCAUUUAAAGAGUGCGUAAUAGCUCACUGGUCGAGUGACUCUGCGCCGAAAAUGUACCGGGGCUAAACGUAUCACCGAAGCUGUGGAUUGACAUCUACGAUGUCAGUGGUAGGAGAGCGUUCUAAGGGCGUUGAAGCUAGACCGUAAGGACUGGUGGAGCGCUUAGAAGUGAGAAUGCCGGUAUGAGUAGCGAAAGAUGGGUGAGAAUCCCAUCCACCGAAUGCCUAAGGUUUCCUGAGGAAGGCUCGUCCGCUCAGGGUUAGUCGGGACCUAAGCCGAGGCUGAAAAGCGUAGGCGAUGGACAACAGGUUGAUAUUCCUGUACCACCUCUUUACCGUUUGAGCAAUGGGGGGACGCAGGAGGAUAGGGUAAGCGCGCUGUUGGAAUAGCGCGUCCAAGCAGUUAGGCUGCAAGCGAGGCAAAUCCCGCUUGCAUAAAGGCUGAGCUGUGACGGCGAGGGAAAUAAAGUACCGAAGUUCCUGAAUCCACACUGCCAAGAAAAGCCUCUAGCGAGGGAAAAGGUGCCCGUACCGCAAACCGACACAGGUAGGCGAGGAGAGAAUCCUAAGGUGAGCGAGAGAACUCUCGUUAAGGAACUCGGCAAAAUCACCCCGUAACUUCGGGAGAAGGGGUGCUCAUUUGGGUGAAUAGCCCGGAUGAGCCGCAGUGAAUAGGCCCAGGCGACUGUUUAGCAAAAACACAGGUCUCUGCGAAGCCGUAAGGCGAAGUAUAGGGGCUGACGCCUGCCCGGUGCUGGAAGGUUAAGAGGAGGGGUUAGCGUAAGCGAAGCUCUGAAUUGAAGCCCCAGUAAACGGCGGCCGUAACUAUAACGGUCCUAAGGUAGCGAAAUUCCUUGUCGGGUAAGUUCCGACCCGCACGAAAGGCGUAACGAUCUGGGCACUGUCUCAACGAGAGACUCGGUGAAAUUAUAGUACCUGUGAAGAUGCAGGUUACCCGCGACAGGACGGAAAGACCCCGUGGAGCUUUACUGUAGCCUGAUAUUGAAUUUCGGUACAGCUUGUACAGGAUAGGUAGGAGCCUUGGAAGCCGGAGCGC
rnacentral:rRNA from 1 species